UGACGACAAUGGGGGAAUUGGCUGACCCUACCGGUUUGCUAAACCGGCGCUUAAUCGCAUGCAGGUUCGAUUCCUGCUGUCGUCGU
rnacentral:tRNA from 1 species